AGAUUAAGUUAUUAAGGGCGCACGGUGGAUGCCUUGGCACUAGAAGCCGAUGAAGGACGUUACUAACGACGAUAUGCUUUGGGGAGCUGUAAGUAAGCUUUGAUCCAGAGAUUUCCGAAUGGGGAAACCCAGCAUGAGUUAUGUCAUGUUAUCGAUAUGUGAAUACAUAGCAUAUCAGAAGGCACACCCGGAGAACUGAAACAUCUUAGUACCCGGAGGAAGAGAAAGAAAAUUCGAUUCCCUUAGUAGCGGCGAGCGAAACGGGAAGAGCCCAAACCAACAAGCUUGCUUGUUGGGGUUGUAGGACACUCUAUACGGAGUUACAAAGGACGACAUUAGACGAAUCAUCUGGAAAGAUGAA
rnacentral:rRNA from 2 species